rnacentral:rRNA from 1 species
CUUAUGGGUAGGGCUUCCACGUCAUACAAUGGUCGGAACAGAGGGUUGCCAACCCGCGAGGGGGAGCUAAUCCCAGAAAACCGAUCGUAGUCCGGAUUGCACUCUGCAACUCGAGUGCAUGAAGCUGGAAUCGCUAGUAAUCGCGGAUCAGCAUGCCGCGGUGAAUACGUUCCCGGGUCUUGUACACACCGCCCGUCACACCAUGGGAGUGGGUUUUACCAGAAGUGGCUAGUCUAACCGCAAGGAGGACGGUCACCACGGUAGGAUUCAUGACUGGGGUGAAGUCGUAACAAGGUAGCCGUAUCGGAAGGUGCGGUUGGAUCACCUCCU